UUGUGAAGUUCUGUCCUCAGUUCUCAGUUUAAACUCCUCCAGUCUGAAACAUCUGAACCUGAGUAACAAUAAACUGAAGGAUUCAGGAGUGAAGCUGCUCUCUGCUGGACUGGAGAAUCCAUACUGUAAACUGGAGAUACUGUGGUUGUGGAGCUGCAAUAUUACAGUUGAAGGUUUUACUGCUCUGGCUUCAGCUCUGAAAUCAAAUCCAUCAUCACGUCUGAGGGAACUGCAAUUGCACGACAAUCAUCCAAGAGAAUCAGGAGUAAAACUGCUCAAAGAUUUACAGGAGGAUCCACAAUGUAACCUAAAGGAACUACUGUUCUGAUUUGAAUACUCAUUAAAUUAUGAGAAGAAGAUGGAGAUAAACAUUAUCUAGUCUUCAUACUGGGAUUCUACAUGGUGACGAUUUAUUCAGCUUAUUACUGUUGAAUCUGUAAAGAUGCUUUCUGUAUAACUGUGUGUACAAGAUCAGCACACUCAAACCCACCCUGAAGUGCUGAUGGACCUUCUGUACAUCAGUACUGAAGUAAUGAGAUUGGAGAGUCCAUCAGGUUUCUGGUACCAUCUGUACUAAUCUGGUAGACUAAACACUGAGCACCUGGUACAUGUGAGUUAGGAGCUGCCAAACUGGGUAAGGGUACAUGAGGACUGCUUUAGAAAACCCUGUAUUAGCUUGAUGCAUUAGCAUGCUGUUCACUAUCUGACCUGUAAUGAAGAAGUUUAAAACUACUAGAGAUGUUGCCUGGAGGAGAACAUGAGGAGGAUUACUGGAGUGAAUCUCCAAGGAUCUCCGAUCGGAAAUUCAGACGUAAGUGAGGUCUCAAGUUUAGAGCCUCUGCUUACAUAACCACAAGAUGUUUAGAGGACUGGCUGAAGAAAGUCUCCUCUGUAUUCUCAUCCUGGAACUUUCCAACGGACCUUGUUGUGUGGUCAGAACAGGCCAAAAUAGACACAAAACAGUAGAGGUCCUGGGGUGGGGGGUACAUAAUGCCCUUUUUGAAAUGCAAAAUUAUGAAUCACUUUUAUUUACUGUACGUUCUAACCAACUGAUGUUAAAUAUAGAAGAUAAUGUAAAUAUUUGUUAAAAGUGACAGU